rnacentral:rRNA from 1 species
UACGUAGGGGGCAAGCGUUGUCCGGAUUUAUUGGGCGUAAAGAGCGUGUAGGCGGCUAGAUAGGUCCGUUGUGAAAACUCGAGGCUCAACCUCGAGAUGUCGGCGGAAACUAUCUGGCUAGAGUCCGGAAGAGGAGAGUGGAAUUCCUGGUGUAGCGGUGAAAUGCGCAGAUAUCAGGAAGAACACCCGUGGCGAAGGCGGCUCUCUGGGACGGUACUGACGCUGAGACGCGAAAGCGUGGGGAGCGAACAGG